rnacentral:rRNA from 1 species
AGAGUUUGAUUAUGGCUCAGGAUGAACGCUAGCUACAGGCUUAACACAUGCAAGUCGAGCGCGCCCUUCGGGGUGAGCGGCGGACGGGUUAGUAACGCGUGGGAACGUACCCUUUGGUAGGGAAUAGCCACUGGAAACGGUGAGUAAUACCCUAUGAGCCCUUCGGGGGAAAGAUUUUAUCGCCAAAGGAUCGGCCCGCGUUAGAUUAGGUAGUUGGUGGGGUAAUGGCCUACCAAGCCUACGAUCUAUAGCUGGUUUUAGAGGAUGAUCAGCAACACUGGGACUGAGACACGGCCCAGACUCCUACGGGAGGCAGCAGUGGGGAAUCUUGGACAAUGGGGGGCAACCCUGAAUCCAGCCAUGCCGCGUGAGUGAAGAAGGCCUUAGGGUCGUAAAGCUCUUUCGCCUGUGAAGAUAAUGACGGUAGCAGGUAAAGAAACCCCGGCUAACUCCGUGCCAGCCGCAGC